rnacentral:rRNA from 1 species
GACGAACGCUGGCGGCGUGCCUAAUACAUGCAAGUUGAGCGCUGAAGGUUGGUACUUGUACCAACUGGAUGAGCAGCGAACGGGUGAGUAACGCGUGGGGAAGCUGCCUUUGAGCGGGGGACAACAUCUGGAAACGAAUGCUAAUACCGCAUAAAAACUUUAAACACAAGUUUCAAGUUUGAAAGAUGCAAUUGCAUCACUCAAAGAUGAUCCCGCGUUGUAUUAGCUAGUUGGUGAGGUAAAGGCUCACCCAGGGGAUGAUACAUAGCCGACCUGAGAGGGUGAUCGGCCACAAUGGGACUGGGACACGGCCCAAACUCCCACGGGAAGGAGCAGGAGGGAAACUUCGGAAAAGGACGGAAGUCUGGACGAGCAACGCCGCGUGAGGGGAGAAGGGUUUCGGAUCGUUAAACUCUGUUGGUAGGGAAGAAAGUGGGUGAGGGUGGAAAGCUCAUGAAGUGACGGUAACUAAACAGAAAGGGACGGCUAACUACGUG